rnacentral:rRNA from 1 species
AGAGUUUGAUCCUGGCUCAGGAUGAACGCUGGCGGCGUGCCUAAUGCAUGCAAGUCGAGCGACGCAUACCGGAGGGGUAACCCACUGGUAUGACGGAGCGGCGAACGGGUGAGUAACACGUGAGUAACCUGCCCCACAGACCGGGACAGCCCAGGGAAACCUGGAUUAAUACCGGAUACCCUCGGGGGAUCGCAUGAUCUUUCGAGGAAAUGCCUUUGUGCUGUGGGAUGGACUCGCGACUUAUCAGCUAGUUGGUGGGGUAACGGCCUACCAAGGCGUCGACGAGUAGCUGGUCUGAGAGGACGAUCAGCCACACUGGGACUGAGACACGGCCCAGACUCCUACGGGAGGCAGCAGCAGGGAAUCUUGCGCAAUGGGCGAAAGCCUGACGCAGCAACGCCGCGUGGGGGAUGAAGGCCUUCGGGUUGUAAACCCCUUUCAGGAGGGAAGAAAUUGACGGUACCUCCAAAAGAAGCACCGGCCAACUACGUGCCAGCAGCCGCGGUAAUACGUAGGGUGCGAGCGUUAUCCGGAAUCAUUGGGCGUAAAGAGCUCGUAGGCGGUUCAGCAAGUCGGCUGUGAAAUUUCGAGGCUCAACCUCGAAACUGCAGUCGAAACUGCUGUGACUCGAGUCCGGUAGAGGAGAAUGGAAUUCCCGGUGUAGCGGUGAAAUGCGCAGAUAUCGGGAGGAACACCAGU